AGAAAGCCCCACGUAGUUUAAUGCAGUGUGCCACAUUAUGGCACCAGCAUCCUCACACCCACUGUGUUUAGCACAUCUCUUGAUUGUUUCAGGAUUCCAGGGCAGAGCAUGGACUUGUGGAAGUGCUCACUGUGAUGGUCACACAGAUGAAGUCAUCCAAUAAUGCAGUGAAGCAUCAAAGGCAUCUAUGACAUCACACAACGCACAACUGCGGUGGCUCAGCCAGAGUAAACUGCAGGAGCUUGAAUUCAAAGAGCACAUCCAGAUAUAAACUGCAGCUAAUCAGAUACUUAUAUACAAGAUAAUGCUCAUAAAGCCACAGCGAAGGAGACCAUGAAGUCCUACCUUCCUUUGAAGUGAGUCACGGCCCCCUCAUUCCAGCAGUACUCGCUCUACGUCCAGAGGAAGAGACUGCCCUGCACUCUGAAGACGAAGCGUGUGAGGCGGAUCUGAACAGACAGCCUUUCUAAGGCUCUCCCAGUUCAAACCGUCAGAUAGCACUCCCCAGAAUAGCUUUUGCACGCUGUUUACUUUAUCCACUGUGCGUACAA